rnacentral:rRNA from 1 species
CACAUGCAGUCGAACGGAGCUGAGAGGAGCUUGCUUUUCUUAGCUUAGUGGCGAACGGGUGAGUAACGCGUGAGUAACCUGCCCUGGAGUGGGGGACAACAGUUGGAAACGACUGCUAAUACCGCAUAAGCCCACGGAUCCGCAUGGAUCUGCGGGAAAAGGAUUUAUUCGCUUCAGGAUGGACUCGCGUCCAAUUAGCUAGUUGGUGAGGUAACGGCCCACCAAGGCGACGAUUGGUAGCCGGACUGAGAGGUUGAACGGCCACAUUGGGACUGAGACACGGCCCAGACUCCUACGGGAGGCAGCAGUGGGGGAUAUUGCACAAUGGGGGAAACCCUGAUGCAGCGACGCCGCGUGGAGGAAGAAGGUUUUCGGAUUGUAAACUCCUGUCGUUAGGGACGAUAAUGACGGUACCUAACAAGAAAGCACCGGCUAACUACGUGCCAGCAGCCGCGGUAAAACGUAGGGUGCAAGCGUUGUCCGGAAUUACUGGGUGUAAAGGGAGCGCAGGCGGGAAGACAAGUUGGAAGUGAAAACCAUGGGCUCAACCCAUGAAUUGCUUUCAAAACUGUUUUUCUUGAGUAGUGCAGAGGUAGAUGGAAUUCCCGGUGUAGCGGUGGAAUGCGUAGAUAUCGGGAGGAACACCAGUGGCGAAGGCGGUCUGCUGGGCACCAACUGACGCUGAGGCUCGAAAGCAUGGGUAGCAAACAGGAUUAGAUACCCUGGUAGUCCAUGCCGUAAACGAUGAAUGCUAGGUGUAGGGGGGUAUCGACCCCUUCUGUGCCGCAGUCAACACAAUAAGCAUUCCGCCUGGGGAGUACGGCCGCAAGGUUGAAACUCAGAGGAAUUGACGGGGGCCCGCAC